CUACGGGCGGCACCAGUGGGGAAUAUUGCACAAUGGGCGCAAGCCUGAUGCAGCCAUGCCGCGUGUAUGAAGAAGGCCUUCGGGUUGUAAGGUACUUUCAGCGGGGAGGAAGGGAGUAAAGUUAAUACCUUUGCUCAUUGACGUUACCCGCAGAAGAAGCACCGGCUAACUCCGUGCCAGCAGCCGCGGUAAUACGGAGGGGGCAAGCGUUCAUCGGAAUUACUGGGCGUAAAGCGCACGCAGGCGGUUUGUUAAGUCAGAUGUGAAGUCCCCGGGCUCAACCUGGGAACUGCAUCUGAUACUGGCAAGCUUGAGUCUCGUAGAGGGAGGUAGAAUUCCAGGUGUAGUGGUGAAAUGCGUAGAGAUCUGGAGGAAUACCGGUGGCGAAGGCGGCCCCCUGGACGAAGACUGACGCUCAGGUGCGAAAGCGUGGGGAGCAAACAGGAUUAGAUACCCUUGUAGUC
rnacentral:rRNA from 1 species